GCCGUCCAGCCAGCUGCUACAGUGGUCAUCGCCUGUCGUGAAUGGCUGCCGCAGAAGUGGUUGUGGCUGCCAGCACCACACCGGAGCCUCUGGCCGUUUCUGUCACUUGAGACCCCGCUGCCGUCGCCGGAAAAUUCUGCCGAUCGCCGCUGCUGCUUGGGGCUGACUGCCGGGUUGCCGCCGAACCGAUUCGAAGACCGCCGCUGUUUCGGUUCAGCCGUUCCUCCUUCGGUCGAGUUGUUGAGACUAUUGCGAAAGUGGCUUGGAACCGAGGUUUUAGCUGCCGGGAUUUUGAUUGUUGAUUUUGGGUCGAGGCAGAAAGGAUUCUGUGACGCGUUUGGGCUAUGGUUUUGCGUUUUGAUGUAGGGGCGCUUUCCAAAAACUAUAUUUUAUAUGCCGGAAUUAUUAGAUAUGGGUACUAAUGUGAGAUAAUGUAUUUGGUGAUUGUAUAAGCCUUAUGUGAUGUUGAUUAUCCUGGAUGAAUGUAAUUAUAUGUUUGAAUGGAUUAUUAUUUGGUUC